rnacentral:rRNA from 1 species
UGGGGGAUAUUGCACAAUGGGGGAAACCCUGAUGCAGCAACGCCGCGUGAGUGAAGAAGUAUUUCGGUAUGUAAAGCUCUAUCAGCAGGGAAGAUAAUGACGGUACCUGACUAAGAAGCUCCGGCUAAAUACGUGCCAGCAGCCGCGGUAAUACGUAUGGAGCAAGCGUUAUCCGGAUUUACUGGGUGUAAAGGGUGCGUAGGCGGCACAGCAAGUCAGAUGUGAAAGACCGGGGCUCAACCCCGGGGCUGCAUUUGAAACUGCCGAGCUUGAGUCCGGGAGAGGCAGGCGGAAUUCCUAGUGUAGCGGUGAAAUGCGUAGAUAUUAGGAGGAACACCAGUGGCGAAGGCGGCCUGCUGGACCGGAACUGACGCUGAGGCACGAAAGCGUGGGGAGCAAACA